ACCUACCUAUAAGACUGGGAUAACUUCGGGAAACCGGAGCUAAUACCGGAUAAUAUAUUGAACCGCAUGGUUCAAUAGUGAAAGACGGUUUUGCUGUCACUUAUAGAUGGAUCCGCGCCGCAUUAGCUAGUUGGUAAGGUAACGGCUUACCAAGGCAACGAUGCGUAGCCGACCUGAGAGGGUGAUCGGCCACACUGGAACUGAGACACGGUCCAGACUCCUACGGGAGGCAGCAGUC
rnacentral:rRNA from 1 species